rnacentral:lncRNA from 1 species
UAACAUACAAAUUUCAUCGAAAAUUACGAUGAGAUCCACUUUCACAUUCUCCUCCUAAAUCUCCUCCAUAAUCGACAAUCUCCUCCAGGCUCCUCCGGGCUCCUCCAUAAUCGACAAUCUCGUCCAUUCCGACGAUCGAAAAUCUCCUCCAGUCUCAACAACUCCUCCAUAAUUGGCCGCACCGGAGGCGGCAUGCUAAUCCUUUAGAGUUUUUUCAAAUCUGAAUCGGUAAAUAUAUUCUUAUUGCAAAAGUUUCUUAACUCGUGCGGGUGUUGAUUUUGGGCCUCAUUCAUGAAUUAAUCAAUUGGGUAUAUCAAUCUUGAAAGUGGGUCUCAUCAAGUUGAGUAUAAGCUCAUGGUUGAAGGCUUAAUGUUUAGCAGCUUUUUAAUUUGUUUUUGUUUAAAUUUCUGGAUUGGUUGCUCGUGGGUUGUUUUUUUGUGCUAUUGUUUAAAUUUUUGUGUUUCUGUAAGCUUCCUUAAUGUGGGAUUUUAGUUUUGUAUUUGUUUGAUGGUUAAUUUUGUGUGUGUGUUUUGAAGUACAGACACUCCUAAAGCUUAAAGUCCAGAUGCAAAGAAGGCAUUGAAGAAACAAAGAAAAAGAUAGAUACAUAAAAUCCAAUUCUGUGAGAAAAAAGGUGUGUUCUAUCUUUAUGUAAAAAGUGAAAAAAGUCACGAAUAAUUUCAAUAAUCUUGGGUUUGCAGAUUAAUUAUGCUUCUAAUUGGUUAAAGUUAAUGUGAUUCUUCUAAUUUAAUUAAAUAUCUUGCUUUUGAAACUGUACUAUGUUAUAUGGAAUCAUAGAAUUAGCACUUAGACCAGAUUGAUAAAUGUUAAAAUAUUGUCAGAUGCUGUCAAUUCUUGCUCUGCUUCUGUUGCUAUACUUAUUCUAGUUGUUAUCCCAUUUGAUAUAUAAGAGCGUAAAAGAGAGAGCAUUUUAAGCCAAUAGCUGCCCGGUCGAGUGCAGAGAAUCAGUAUCCAAAACUUUGAGUUUCUCUGGCUAUUAGCAGUACAAGUUUUUUAUGCACUAGAAAGAAGGGAUUUUGUACUGCAUUAAGUACAGUAUAUCAUAUAUGUAAAAGAAAAGAGUUCAUUUUUUGUGUUUCUUUCUUAUUGUUAUUGGAUUUUGUUGCAAUCAUCAUACUGAUGAUUCAUUUUGUAGCUGAUCAUAUUUUUAUUUAUUAAAUAGUAGAAUUUGAUAAGGUGGUCUGUAGAUAUUAUAUCAAGGUGUAUUUAUAUAUAUACAGAGCCUUUUCCAAUUUGACUAGUGAUAGAGUCUGCGUUUAUGAAUUGGUGUAAGAUGCUUGAGUGUGUGUAGGUGGGGGUGAAUCUGUUGGAACCAUUUUGUGCUAUAGAGUUCAGAAAUAACUGAUCAAGAAAUUUUGAAAACUAGAAACCUAAACAUUGGAAAGAAGAAAAGAUUUCAUGAAAAAAUGACUCUUUUAAUACUUAUGAAAUGUGAUCACUAAAAUCCUCAACACAUAACAGAACCAAGGAGGGGCAAAGAGGGAGAACAAUUAAUAGUAUGACAAAGUUAAUUAAGUAGUUGUAUUUUUUUCAGACCCCUGAUAGUAAUUAUAAAACAUAAACUGAAGAAGUUAUUGGUCUACAAAGAAAAACACUAGUUUAUGAAUGAAAACAUGCAAAUGCUUCUGAUGCUUUCUUCAGUUAUCUUUAGAGUCCAACCAGCUAUGUUUUCCUUUUUAAUUGAGAAUGUUAAAUCUCCCUCAAUAUUAUAUCAGGAACGUAUGCUAGUCACUUUCAGUAAUGGGGCAUCUUUUUAAAAAUGAAAUGAGGCAUCUUUGUGCAUCUAGUUGGAAAAUAAAAAUUGUGGAGAUAAAAGUUAUAUGUCUUAUGCAUAACAUAGUACUUUUCUUAUUAUUGUUGAGAUACGUAAUUUUAAUAUCUAUUAUUGCAGAGCUUUUUAAUGUUGUUCUAUUGAAUCCCUCUCCCCAAAACCUUGAGUUACAGUUUGUGUAGAUUUUAGCUCUUUGUGUAGAUUUUAGCUCUUUGUCCUAUCCUUCAAUCUGUUUGUGUAGAUUUUAGCUUCUAUUGUAAACAUAUCAGGUAAAAAUCCAAAGUUUCUUUGCAUUCGUAGUUUAAGAUUUCUUCUCCAUGCUAAAGUUUCAAUUGAAUAUUGUUGCCACUUAUAAUUAUAACAAAAAGAAAUAACAUAGGUUGUUUGACACCAACAAUCUUUAUAGGUACUGACUUUUGUCAAACGCUAAACCAUGAUUGCUUGACAGACAGCACGUGGCUAUGUUAAUGUAUCACCAUUUGAUGAAAUUUUCUUAAAAUUUUCUAAUAUAAAAUAAGUGAAUUUGAACAUAUGGAUCAGUUGAAGUCUAAGAAAUUCAUGUACUUAUCAAGCUUAAGUAGAACACUAGUUUUCAUUUGCUUACUGUUAUUUAUUAUACCAACAAGAUAAAAUAUCAUUUUUAGGAAUUAACCAUUAGAAAAUAGAAUCAUAGACUCUAGUGUUGUUUGCUUGAUGGUGAUCAAAUUAUUAGACUUGUUUGUGAUUGCUUCAUCAAGAUUGAAUCAUAAACUGCUUGCAAUUUUAAAGUAGAGAAAAGUAUCUGAGUUAAACAAGGUGUAUCAUUUGAUGAGAUGACCUGAAGGUGUUGGCAAUAAAUUUCUUCCAUCUACUUUUAAUAGCGUAUAUUGUAUUACUUGGAGUUGCUUAAGAUACUUGUUACAACAUCAAAAUUGUUUUUGUUGGUGCAUAUUAGUAUGAAGAAGUGUUUCUACCUCCUGUUGCUUUUUGUGUUCAACUGGGAGUAAGAUAUGAAAUUGCUGCCUUAUGAAGUUUGGUGUUUCUCAUUUGCCUAGAUAUUUUUUAAUUAUGAAGUUGCGGCUUUCUUUCUUAUGACACUUGCCCUCUAUAGUUAGUAUUGUUAAAAUCGAACUCAUUUUGAUAUUAUUUGGAUGGUAGUCCCUAGCUAUAUGCAUAUCUUUAGGCUUAUUAUUAAAUUGAUCAGAUCAAACUCUAUGUUAAGCUUCUGUAUAUUGCUUUCCUUUCCAUGUGAGUUCUUUUUUAAUUAAUUGCUAUAUAACCAAAUCUUAUAUAGCUUAGUAUUUUUUAAUGGUUUUGUAGGUGAAGAAAUGA